rnacentral:lncRNA from 1 species
AUGGAGAGAUGGAGAGGUUAUUACCCAAAAACACACAGCCAAUAAAUGGUGAAAGCAAGAUUUAAAUGUGGGUCCAGGAAGUUUCCCCUUGUGACUCAGUGGGUUACAAACAUGAUUGGUAUCUAUGACGAUGCAGGUUCCAUCCCUGGCCUCUCUCGGGUUAAAGAUCCCGCAAGCUGUGGUGUAGGUGGCAGACACAGCUUGGAUCCCAUGUUGCUGUGGCUGUGGUGCAGGCUGGCAGUGCCAGCUCUAAUUGAACCCCUAGCCUGGGAACUUCCAUAGCUACAGGUCCACCCUAAAUAGCCAGAAAAAAAAAAGUGGGUCCAGAGUUCCUUCUUCUUUUAUUACAACCUGUUUGUUUUGUUUUGUUUUCGUUUUUUGUGGGGUUUUUUUUGUUUGUUGUUUUGUUUUGUUUUUUUAAGCACAGGGAGAACAUAGUAUCCAAGGAGGAAAACAAAUUUUCAACAAAAAUACCCCAAAGAGUUCAUGUUGUCCUAACAGCAAAUCUCCCCCUAAAUUUUGGGAAAUAUACUUAUAUUUUCCCAUUUGUUUCUUUGGUAAGAGGACUGUCUCUUUCCCCCAAAGCCCUAUAAACCAGCGCUGUCCAAUAGGAUUUUCUGUGAAGAUGGAAACAGCCUAUAAUCUUGCUGCCUAAUAUGGUAGCUAUUGGCCUCAUGUUGCUGUUGAAUAAGUGUAAUAUGCACUCAGGAUUUCAGAGUCUUUGUAGAAUAGAGGAAGGUAAAAUAACUCACUGACACUUUAAAAAAAUUAUUGCAUGGUAAAAUGAUAAUAUAUUUGGCUAAAUUUAACAUAUUUUAAAAUUAGUUUUACCUUUUUUCUUUUUUUUUUUUCACUUGUUGAACGUGGCUACUAGAAAACUUAGAAUUGCGUAUGUUGGCUGCAUGAUAUUUCUAUUGGCAUCAUAUGAUCUAGGUCGUUUGUCUAUGAAUAUGUUUAUAUAUUUACAAUUAUGUAUGUGUAUGUAUGUAUAUCUGUGUGUGUAUGUAUGUAUAUCUACCAUCUAUCUAUUGAUGGUCAUUUUAUUUUUAAUAGAAACAGUAUCACGUAGUAUACAAUGCUUUACAAUUUGUUAUCAUUUCAGAGUAAUUAGGGUUUUUUUUCCCCUCAUGUUGGUACAUAUAAAUCAACAUCAUUCUCUUAAUUACUAUAUAGCAGUGCUUAAACUGAUUUAUGAGUUGCUCAUCCAUUGAUACACAGUACAUGCUUGGAUGGAUAUAAAGUAUCAGAAGAGAAGCAGGUGCAAUUCUGGAGAAUACAGCCUUUUAAGAGGUGGACAGAGGUUAGCCCUGCAGACUGGUUUGAGAGAUAGGACCUACCCAGGACAGAGGUAUUGACAGAAACCGAGAGAUUGAAGUUCCAAGAAGGGUCAAUGGGAAUUGAUACGAAGAAUUCAAAAAAGUGAGCUUCUAAAGACUAGCGUCUGGAUGUAGCAACUAAAGAGGUGAUGGCUCACUGAGGAAGUGAGCAGAAGGAUGUCUGGAUUCCGGUGGGUUGAGGAUCAAAUAGGAAAUGCAGCAAUAGAGGAUAUGGAUGCAGGCUUGCUUCUCUUUUUGAAUCCUGUAGAAUUUUUUUUUGUUUUUCUCAUGACAGAAGUAUUUAUGCCCUGGCAAUUUUAUUCCUAUAGGGUGAAUUUUCAGAAGUGGAUCAUUGGGUUUGUGUAUUUUUAAAAUUUUUACAGACAUUUCUAAUUUAGGUUCCCAAAAGGUUGUAACAAUUCAACCAGAACAUGUGACAGUGAGAAUUCCCCCCAAUGUUUCCCAGUUCUGUGUUUUCUCUUUUCUUUCAAUUCUACUAAUCUAAUAGGCAGAAAAUGAUAUCUCUUCUUUAAAUUUAUUCUGUUUUCUUGAUUACAAAUGAGUUUGAUCAUUUUUACAUGGAUUUUUAAAUUACUUCUACUGAGAAUUCUCUAUUCUCUGUUUAUUUUUGUACUGUUGGGUUUUUUCUUUUUAUAAUUAAAAUAUCUUUUUGUACAUUACGGAGAUUAAUCCCAUUUCUACAAUAUAUGCUGUGCAAAUUUCUCCUGAGACCAUCACGGGUGUUUGACUUUUUUUUUAAUUGAACUGUAGUUUAUUUACAAUAUUAUAUUAGUUUCAGGUGUACAUCAUAGUGAUAUAGAAUCUUUGUAUAACCUUAUGUUGUUGACGAUCCUUCAGAAAAUGAAACUUAGAGAUUCGCUGGUGGCCUAGGUUAAGGAUCCAGGUGUUGUCACUACUGUGGCUCAGGUCACUGCUCUGGCAUGGGUUCCAUGGGAACUUCCACAUGUGGCAGGAGUUCCCAUCGUGGCGCAGUGGUUAACGAAUCCGACUAGGAACAAUGAGGUUGCGGGUUCGGUCCCUGCCCUUGCUCAGGGGGUUAAGGAUCCGGCAUUGCCAUGAGCUGUGGUGUAGGUUGCAGACGCAGCUUGGAUCUGGCAUUGCUGUGUCUCUGGCGUAGGCCGGCAGCUACAGCUCCGAUUCGACGCCUAGCCUGGGAAUCUCCAUAUGCCACGGGAGUGGCCCAAGAAACG